UACGGGGGGAGCAAGCGUUGUUCGGAUUUACUGGGCGUAAAGGGCGCGUAGGCGGCCAGGUAGGUCUGCUGUGAAAACUCGAGGCUCAACCUCGAGACGUCGGCGGAAACCAUCUGGCUAGAGCCCGGAAGAGGAGAGUGGAAUUCCUGGUGUAGCGGUGAAAUGCGCAGAGAUCCGGAAGAACACCGGUGGCGAAGGCGGCCUGCUGGGCAGUAGCUGACGCUGAGGCGCGACAGCGUGGGGAGCAAACAGG
rnacentral:rRNA from 1 species